rnacentral:rRNA from 1 species
AUUGAACGCUGGCGGCAUGCCUUACACAUGCAAGUCGAACGGCAGCACGGGAGCUUGCUCCUGGUGGCGAGUGGCGAACGGGUGAGUAAUAUAUCGGAACGUACCCUAGAGUGGGGAUAACGCAGCGAAAGUUGCGCUAAUACCGCAUACGAUCUACGGAUGAAAGUGGGGGAUCGCAAGACCUCAUGCUCAUGGAGCGGCCGAUAUCUGAUUAGCUAGUUGGUGGGGUAAAGGCCUACCAAGGCAUCGAUCAGUAGCUGGUCUGAGAGGACGACCAGCCACACUGGAACUGAGACACGGUCCAGACUCCUACGGGAGGCAGCAGUGGGGAAUUUUGGACAAUGGGCGCAAGCCUGAUCCAGCAAUGCCGCGUGCAGAUGAAGGCCUCGGUUGG